CAAGUUUCUGUUCAGACCCAAAAUAAUAACAAGGUCUGACAGUUUUUGCCAGGAUUUUUCUGCCCAGCAACUGCAUUCACAUUGGAAAAAUGGAGCAACUUAAGUAAAUAAGUCUGGAACUCAGAGGGCUUCAUGAAGGCCAGAAGAAUUGCAGACGGUGUUGGAACAGAUAUCUCUUCAGUCUUCUGUAUGAAAGACUUGCUCGUGUCCAUCUCCCAGACUCUUGCUGCUGAGUCACAUGGAUUUCCUACAAGGGCAGAAGAGCAGAGCUGCACUGCUUUACUAUGCCAACUCCUAUAGCUCUCCUAUUGCAAUCAGCCUUCCCAGCAUAAAGUCAACGUUACUAGAAAAGGUAAAAGGAGAUUCCUACCAGAAAUAAUUUCUACACAGAGACAUUACUACUCAAAGGAUUAAAAAACUGCUGCUACAACCUCUGCUCAGCCGAGAACACUCCUCUUAUUCAGGAGGAGCUUUUGUGUGGAUGCAGGUAAGAAAUAAAGCCAAUGAGGAACCUGAAGGUGGGGAUUUCUUGGCUGUUUGAACACAGUUGUAUGGUUUCAUGAUUACCAUCCAUCAACACCACUAUCACUGACUUGCAAGAUCAGCUCAAACAUGCACGUGAUCUUCAACCUACUGUGUAUUUGAAAAGAGGAUUUUAGGAAUCACACAUGAAUAUAUGCAUCAAUAGAACACACAUUAAUUUUAGAAAAAAAGUUUCUACAGUGUAUUUUUCUUUUCAUUUCUUACUAGAGACUCAAGACAAUUUAGUGCUAAAUAUGAAAGAUUGGUUUCAGCUUAAUUUAUGAAAAAAAUUUUGUAAACUUACAUUAGCAGAUAUUUGUGCACUUGAUAUAGCUUUAAAAGUAAUUUCAUUAUUUCCUUAGUCAAAAUACAGAUAAAAGUUUAUUUUUGUAAAAUUUUUAACAGUUCCAUUUUCUUAACAAAAUACUGUACUAUUGAAGCUGUGCUAUCCUAUAUUAACUUCUACAUUAAACAUCAAAUUAAGAUGUCUGUGCUAUCUACGAUCAGAUUAGUACUCUCUGGUUUCAGACAUACUGUAGAGAAGAUGAUAUAUUUAUCUUUCCUCCAAAGCAGAGGAAAGUAUUGAAUUAACUUCAUAUAGAUUAAUUAUGUGGCAAACGGUUGUUUGUUUCUGUUUGAUGGCGAUCCCAUGAAACCAUUAAAGGUCCAACAUCAGCUAAUAGUCACAAUUCAGUGGCAGUACAGCUCCAGAAAAGCCAAAUGCAACACAUCCCUGUGCCAUGCUGCACUGAAAAACUGAUGAAAUAUUAAUCACUCAGGUUCCAUGUAAAACGUAACAGAAAAGGAAGUCAGAAUAAGAAAAAAGAGCACAGCAGGGGUUCUGUAUAUUAGCAUCAACAACCCACAUUUAAAGGCUAAAGCAAAAUGCAGAAACCCUUGCCCCACGUUUGUAAUUUUGAAACUCUUGUCAUAGCUAAGUAAUAGCAUGGCCACAGCAGGAUGCACCAAAAUUAAAGGUAAAAGCUCUCCUGAGGGGUGAAGAGAAGAGGUAAUGGUGCCAGAACGGUUAUAGAAAAAGCCAUUUAUCUUGAGAGUGAGAGAGAGAUCAAGGCAGAAGGACUAGAUUAAUUACAAAGAUUCAUUUAGUACUAUUAUCUUUUUCCUUUGUGACAUCUGAAAGCCUUUGACUAUUAUCUUCUGUUGUAGAAAUUUGCUCUGGUGUAGGCAUUUGGUCAUUCAUACAUGCACUGAUUCUUGCUGACACAGAAACAGUGUUCUGCAAGUGACACCAAUCUCCCCAGCUCAAAGGCUGUCUUGAAUGAAAUACUUCAGGAAUUUAUGAAGUGUUCCCCAAUAACAAUAGGAAAAACAAAUACACAGAUACAUAAAAAAAAAAGGAAGACGUUUGUCAAAAUGUUUUUAUAUGACAAAAAUGUUUAUGUCUAAGUUUCCCGAUGUUUCAGGUUGUGGUCUUGUAGCAAAUGAAAACGAGGGGUAAAAUAAUAAUUUGCAUCUCAAUUAUCCCAUUCAAAUGUGCUCAGAUGCAAAAUAUUACAACAUCAGGUAAGCACCAGUCUCACUUUGAUUUCACCAAUUAAGCAGUCUAACAAUUGCACCACCUCAGACCUAGAGAAUGUCAGCAAAAGCCUAGAAAACACCUGCACAAAAUGCCAUUAGUUUCAUUAGUUGUUUUGAUAACUGCUGCAAACCUAUGACAUAAAAUUAAUGGUUUUAUAUCACGUUACAACUUUUUCCACGCACCAGACCUGCUGACUCCUCAGCAGUAAGUAGACUGCAUUAUCCUUGUUUAAUCCUACACUGUUCAGGCCAGCAUCUUCCUCCUUCUGACUGCCACAGUUCAGUCCAUAGGCCUGUUUCUCACAUUAAGUAACAAUUUAUGAUCAAAUCUCUGUCAUUGUUCUCAAAUUGUACUCAGAUUGUACAAGAGUUUAUAUAUAUUAAAAUUUUUCAGCUUUUCCAACAGUAUCAGGAUUUUCAGUAAGCAGUAACACUCACUGUCUAUGAAUCUGAACACAAGUGGGAGAAAUGGCCAGAGGAACCUCUUGAAAUUCAACAAAGAUAAGUGCAGGUUCCUGUACCUGGGGAGGAGUAACUGCACGCACCAAUACAGGUUAGGGGUUGACCUGCUGGAAAAAUGGUACCCUGGGGUGUGUUAAAAAGAGUGUGGCCAGCAGGUCAAGGGACAUGGUACUUCCCCCUGAUGAAGCCAUUAGACUACAUUUAGACUA